UACGUAGGGUGCAAGCGUUGUCCGGAAUUAUUGGGCGUAAAGAGCUCGUAGGCGGUUUGUUGCGUCGGCUGUGAAAUCCCGGAGCUCAACUCCGGGCCUGCAGUCGAUACGGGCAGACUGGAGUUCGGCAGGGGAGACUGGAAUUCCUGGUGUAGCGGUGAAAUGCGCAGAUAUCAGGAGGAACACCGGUGGCGAAGGCGGGUCUCUGGGCCGAUACUGACGCUGAGGAGCGAAAGCGUGGGGAGCGAACAGG
rnacentral:rRNA from 1 species